rnacentral:rRNA from 1 species
UACGAAGGGGGCUAGCGUUGUUCGGAAUCACUGGGCGUAAAGGGCGCGUAGGCGGCUUUAUAAGUCGGGGGUGAAAGCCUGUGGCUCAACCACAGAAUUGCCUUCGAUACUGUAGAGCUUGAGACCGGAAGAGGUAAGUGGAACUGCGAGUGUAGAGGUGAAAUUCGUAGAUAUUCGCAAGAACACCAGUGGCGAAGGCGGCUUACUGGUCCGGUUCUGACGCUGAGGCGCGAAAGCGUGGGGAGUAAACAGG